GAAGCUUGGAUCUGGGUAUGAGUCCUGCACAGGAAGCCAAAGUGGUUAAGAUUACCACUUACAUAAUGCAGAAAAUCCUUGCUUGGGUUCCAGUGCACAACAGAUUUCAUUGUUGAGAUUCCUUAUACAGCUGAUGGUUGUUCAUAAUCACAUCUGUAUGUCUACUGCCUUGGAGCAGACAAGGUGCCCAUCAUUUUAUGCCUCGGCUCUGGGGGCAAAGAAAAGAAUUUACUCUCAAUCAUUAAUCACCUUGUAAGGUCAGAGGGAUCAUUGGAAAGUGGAUCAGCAACAAGAACCUACACUUUUUAUCAAGCCCUGUUGGAGAAAAUUUUCAUUUAACUUCCUGAAACACAGAAUUGCAGCUGUGGCCAUUAGCCAGUGACAGGGCAUUGUGUUGCAUAACAUGUAAAACUGUGGUUUA